GAGGUGCUAGUAAAACGUUAUUAUGCUGCCUUGUCAAGGCAAAAUUGCGGGUUAAACCCCCGCGUACCUCA
rnacentral:tRNA from 1 species